AUCUUUCUUCUAUAAAAUUUAUAUUAAUCUAUAAAUAAAAAAGUCUAUAUUCUUUAGAGUGACGAUAAGACCCUAAAACCUUUACAAACUACUUGUUGUUUUGCUGGGGCGGCAAAUCAUAUUUCAUAAUUUUCUAAAACAUAAUGAAUGAAUUUGACUAACUAAAAAUAAAUCUAAGAAGGUACUUUAGGGAUAACAGUAUAAUUUUUAUUUAGAGUAACUUAUCGACAUAAAAGAUUAUAACCUCGAUGUUGAAUUGAUAAACCUUUAUUAAGCAGCCAUAAUGCAAGGAAGUCUGUUCGACUUAUAUAGUAUCACGUGAUCUGAGUUCAAACCGA
rnacentral:rRNA from 1 species